GAAAGCGGAAUCGCUUCCAUCUUUACGUGGAGUCCGGGAAAUGGUUCAGCACCAUGACAUCCGCCGAAGACGUAGGUGUAGACGAGGAACAAAAGAGAAGACCCCUCGUGGAGGUGGCCUGUGGGGCCCGCCCUCACCGGGCGCCAUCUGUCCCUGAUUCUGCUCCCCGCAGGGGCCGCAGCGGGUGCGCCCCGCGAUAGAGCGGGCUGUGGAGGGAGCCUCCAUGGAGUCUCCAUCAACCAUUCCGGACCAGGAGACGGUGGCAGGCAGUAAAAAGGCCUAGGCAGGGCCAGCGCCCCGGGCUGCUAGCACAGGACGGCGGCGCCCAGGGACGCCCCAGGGCAGGCCUCAGCCCCUCCAACCCGCGAGAGCCCAGCUCCAAGGGAGCCUGCAGCUCCCUCCAUCUUGGUUGAUGGAGGCGGGGAGCUGCGUCUGGGUGUCUCCACCGUCGCGCCCGACCAGUACUGCCCCGCGGACGCAGACGCCGGCAGCUGGGGCUGUUCCCUUGUCCGAAUGGCAGAGCCCAGUCGGGGCUUCCGGGACAAGUCCUGGCCCCACGGGGUUUGGUUUUGAGGGGUCCCAAGUUCCCACAGUUGUCCCGACAAAA
rnacentral:lncRNA from 1 species